ACGUCAAAUCAUCAUGCCCCUUAUGACCUGGGCUACACACGUGCUACAAUGGUUGGUACAACGAGUUGCGAGUCGGUGACGGCGAGCUAAUCUCUUAAAGCCAAUCUCAGUUCGGAUUGUAGGCUGCAACUCGCCUGCAUGAAGCCGGAAUCGCUAGUAAUCGCGGAUCAGCAUGCCGCGGUGAAUACGUUCCCGGGCCUU
rnacentral:rRNA from 1 species